CUAAACUACAGCAGACACAGAGGACAAAUAUUGUAUGAGUCCGCUCACACGAGAUGCCUAGAGGAGCCAAAACCACGGAAACAGAAAGUAGACUGGGGCCUCAUUGAGAUGCCAGAUUGCUUCUUCAAGACCCUCCAAGGGGGCACGUCAAAUUCUGAUGGGCCUCACCUUGGACAAGGCUGGGGUUUUUAGACCAGCUUUCACAGCCUGGUUGCUCCAGUGUCAAGACUGACAGUGAUCCAGGGACCUUUAGGGCAGACAACUUCAUUGUGACAGAAUGAGACCUGUGGCCUUUGGACCUCGGUGGGGCCAUAUGUCACCCCUGCAGGCCCCAGGCCCCCCAAGCCACCAAGAGUCACAGAGGCAGGGAGGGGACAGGAGGAGAUCUUGCCCCCACUGCAUCUGGCUCUCCUGCCCUCACCAUCCGCAGCAGGGGGUACACUACAGCUUCGGCUUUACAAACACAGGGAAAAAGCUAACACAACCUUUAAGCCGCAUUAACAGGAUCAAGGGAUGUAUUAUUAGUCCUGCUAGCCUCCGAACCAUUGAGAGUACUUCUGAAAGACA
rnacentral:lncRNA from 1 species